rnacentral:rRNA from 1 species
AUUGAACGCUGGCGGCAUGCCUUACACAUGCAAGUCGAACGGCAGCACGGGUGCUUGCACCUGGUGGCGAGUGGCGAACGGGUGAGUAAUACAUCGGAACAUGUCCUGUAGUGGGGGAUAGCCCGGCGAAAGCCGGAUUAAUACCGCAUACGAUCUACGGAUGAAAGCGGGGGACCUUCGGGCCUCGCGCUAUAGGGUUGGCCGAUAGCUGAUUAGGUAGUUGGUGGGGUAAAGGCCUACCAAGGCGACGAUCAGUAGCUGGUCUGAGAGGACGACCAGCCACACUGGGACUGAGACACGGCCCAGACUCCUACGGGAGGCAGCAGUGGGGAAUUUUGGACAAUGGGCGAAAGCCUGAUCCAGCAAUGCCGCGUGUGUGAAGAAGGCCUUCGGGUUGUAAAGCACUUUUGUCCGGAAAGAAAUCCUUGGCUCUAAUACAGUCGGGGGAUGACGGUACCGGAAGAAUAAGCACCGGCUAACUACGUG